rnacentral:rRNA from 1 species
AUUGAACGCUGGCGGCAGGCCUAACACAUGCAAGUCGAGCGAGCGGCGGACGGGUGAGUAAUGUAUGGGGACUGCCCGAUAGAGGGGGAUAACUACUGGACACGGUGGCUAAUACCGCAUACUAUCGGAUAACCCAUAUUGGAUUAGCUAGUGGGUGGGGUACAGGCUCACCUAGGCGACGAUCUCUAGCUGGUCUGAGAGGGUGAUCGGCCACACUGGAACUGAGACACGGUCCAGACUCCUACGGAGGCAGCAGUGGGGAAUAUGGCGCAAUGGGCGCAAGCCUGAUGCAGCCAUGCCGCGGGUAUGAUGAAGGCCUUAGGGUUGUAAAGUACGUUUAGCGGGGAGGCGUUACCCGAAGAAGAAGCCCCGGCUAACUCCGUGCCAGCAGCCGCGGUAAUUC